AGUGAACGCUGGCGGUAGGCCUAACACAUGCAAGUCGAACGGCAGCACAGUAAGAGCUUGCUCUUACGGGUGUCGAGUGGCGGACGGGUGAGGAAUACAUCGGAAUCUACUUUUUCGUGGGGGAUAACGUAGGGAAACUUACGCUAAUACCGCAUACGACCUACUGGUGAAAGCAGGGGAUCUUCGGACCUUGCGCGAUUGAAUGAGCCGAUGUCGGAUUAGCUAGUUGGCGGGGUAAAGGCCCACCAAGGCGACGAUCCGUAGCUGGUCUGAGAGGAUGGUCAGCUACACUGGAACUGAGAAAGAGCACAGACACCUACGGGAGGAGGCAGUGGAGAAUAUUGGACAAUGGGCGAAAGCCUGAUACAGCCAUACCGCGUGGGUGAAGAAGGAGUUCGGGUUGUAAAGCCAUUUUGUUGGGAAAGAAAAGCAGCAGGUUAAUACCCCGCUGUUAUGACGGUACCGAAAGAAUAAGCACCGGCUAACUUCGUG
rnacentral:rRNA from 1 species